CAGUAUUUCUCACUGUACAGUUUCUCCAGUGUAUCUAAGCCUUUUAUAUGUAACAAUUUGAACUUAGCCUACUAUUUGACACAGUCUGUUGAAGCUGAUGUAUCUAAGGCCUUUGAAAAAGGAAAGAAGCUAUUUCAUUGCUUGCUGUGGGCAACUGCACCACCCUUCCUCUACACAGAAUAGAUUUUUUAUCCAUCAGUAGGAACACAAGAUUCUUCACAGAAAAUAAACCGGACAUGUCCAAGCAAAAUUCCUGAUGCAGCCGUCUGACAGGAUGGCACACCACAAGGAGGAUUAUGUCAACCUUCCUUUCCAUGUGUGGAUUCAGCUUGGUAUGUAUACUUUGCAGUUGGGUGGAUGACAAGCUACUGCAAAGUCUGACUUCACUCAAAGAAAGACACCAGCUGAGGAUCGAGAAACAAAAGCAUGAAAAUCGCAGACUGCUGUUAGUCUUCAAAAUGCCAAGAACCAUUGAAGACAUGAUAGCAAAGACUACAACAGUCUUCCUAUCUACAAACGUAUUGAACAUGGCAUCGACACUUGGCAUUCCAACAACUGGCAAAUGACACCUCCAAGGCCGUUCAUGCACAGAAACCACCUGAGAAGACCACUGAUACGCCUGGUGAUGGCUGAAGACCAAGAUCGGCCCAGAGCAGAAACCCUGCUGAGACCAUCGAUUACAACAGUUUUCCUCUGCAUUAGCGCAUUCAGCAGUGUGUAUAUACACUGCUCACAACAAAUAAACGGAACACGAAGA